rnacentral:rRNA from 1 species
UACGGAGGGUGCGAGCGUUAAUCGGAAUUACUGGGCGUAAAGCGCGCGUAGGCGGUUUGUUAAGUCAGCUGUGAAAGCCCCGGGCUCAACCUGGGAACUGCAGUUGAUACUGGCCGACUAGAGUACGAGAGAGGGAGGUAGAAUUCCAUGUGUAGCGGUGAAAUGCGUAGAUAUAUGGAGGAAUACCAGUGGCGAAGGCGGCCUCCUGGCUCGAUACUGACGCUGAGGUGCGAAAGCGUGGGGAUCAAAC